CUUGGAGGAUUGAACCCAGUAAAGGAGUGAUCCCCCCUACGUCUGAGGUGUCUGUGAUUGUCACAGCAAACCUGGAUGAUACUAAGAAAUUCCAGGACAAGAAGCCCUACACAAAGACGAGCCAGGAUGGCUGCAGGACCAGCUCCAAAAGGGAGAGGAAAAGCUCUCUGAGGCUGGACAGGGUGCA
rnacentral:lncRNA from 12 species